AAAAAAAAGAAAAAGGCUUAAGAAAAAAUGAAUGUGGAUUUUACAGGGAGAAUAGAUACCUCUGCUAAGAGGGCCUCCCCGAAGGAAGAGCAAAAUGAGAGCUGCUUUCCUAACAGCGGAUGGUGCUGUCUCAAAGAGGCCAAACAUCAAUUUGCAACUUCUUAGCGAACAUCCCCGAGACCAAUAUACCAGGGCUCGUUCUGCACUUCAAGCUUAACGCAGCUGAUAGCGGCUGAAACGUAUUAGCAAAGCUUUCAGACGCUGCUGUAUUGAGAUAGCUUUCCUAUCAAAGGCAAACUUCUGGAAACUCGGCGGGACGGAGCUCCAGAAAGCAGAAAAGAGCGAAAAGUGCAAGGAAACACAGCAGAAAAACGAGCGGGAGGCUGGAUUUGCGCUGCCUGCAAGUAUUCCAGGUUUACGAGCCGGGAGUACAAAGGAGGAGAGGGAGCAAUAAAGGACGUGGGGGAAAAUAAUAAGAAGAAUAACAAAAAGGCAUUUUGCCGCGAGCCUAAUAAAUUACCGGCUCGCUAUAACUGCGGCCUCCGCGCCUCACCUCGGGGAACGCGCAGGCACCGCUCCGCCGCCCCUCUCCCGGGCUCGGCCCCGUCCCCCUCCGCUCGGCUCCGGCCGUGCCCAUCCCGCUCGCGGCCACCUGCGGCCCGGCAGCCCUCGCCCGCGGUACGGACCCGGCACCGGCUGCCUGUGCAACACCUCCGCAACACAUUUUAUUUACACGAAAUCGACUCGGGGUAUUGUACAUUAUAUACAGAUAGUUUCCCCCUCCGACAAGGCAGAGCUUGUGCAAGAUAGUAGCAUCCUCCGGAGCGUAUCCUACAGUCCACGGGGAGCAUCCCCCUGCGCGGCAUCAGCUGUCGGAGUCCAAAUCGCUUUUCCCGUCUUCUUGCCUCUUCUCCGGAGACGUUUUAGACGCUUUAUUCCAUUUCUGUGCAUUUUCCGACUCCUCGGAAGACGACCGCUUUUGCCUCCUCCAUUUCGCCCGGCGGUUUUUGAACCAAACCUCCACUUUCUCCUCUCUUAAGUGCACCCUCCUCGCCAGCUGUUCCCUGGUGCCCACGUCUGGGUAUUUCGUUUCCUGGAAGAGGUUUUCCAGCGCUUCGAGCUGCUCGUCAGUGAAGAUAGUCCGGUGCCGUCUUUUCCGCCUGCAGUGCAGCUGGUUGAGUAACUGCAGCUCCGUCCGGGACAAAGUGCCUACGUUCAUGUAGGGCAACAUCUGAUGGGGAACAGGGGACAUCAGCACCGACCCAGCGCCCUCGUAACCUACGAACAGACAGACGAGACGACGGGAGACUUUGUGCGUGAGACCGCCGCUCCCCGACGAAGCGAUCCCGCUCUCCCCCGUUCCCCCCGAGCGCUCCCUUACCUGCGGGGGGCACGCAGGAGCACUGCUGGGCCCCCAGCGGCGGCACGGCCCCGCAACACGACGGGCCCACGGGAGACGUGGGCACAUGCAGCUGCCCGUAGUAGUAGUUGUUGUAGCCCAGGCGGGAGCCGCCGACCGCCGGCAGCGCCGAGCCGGGAGCCACAGCCCGGGAGUAAAAUCCUCCGUAGUCGGAGGCAGCGCCGUAGAGGGAGUCCCCGUGCAGGCUGGGGAAGACGACGGGCGCGGCGCUCGGGGGCAGCAGCACCGAGUCCUUGCAGCGAGGUCUGGCCGCCAGGAUGUUGUCGAUGCUGAACAUGCUCGCAGGCAUGCCCCAACGCGGGCCGGGGACCGGCCGGGGGAGGGAGGUGCUGCCGGCGGCCGCGGCGGCAGUGGCGGCGGUGGAGGGGAGGGGGGAAGCUGAAGAGACGCGAAAUCGAAACUUUCGGGAGAAAUUUUGGAAAGGGAUCGGAGAGAAAGGAGCGGAGCCUUUUCCGAGGGCAGCAAUAGGGCAGAGUGUGCGUGCAUGCGUAUGCGUGUGUCUAUGUGUGUGCGUGUGUGUGUGUCUGUGUGUGUGCGCGCAGGAUCCACCCCUGGAACUUUCCCCCCUCGACUCGCGCCUGUUUACUGAUCUCAGCCCGGAGGGCUGCACGGAGUAUAAUCCAUCCGAACCUCUUCCCUUUUUUAUACCCAGGCGACGUCAUCCUGGAUUUAGUUCCUGGUAAUAUGCAGAUGACAAACAAAACCAGAUCUGAUUUUUCACCCCCCUCCCCCCCCCCCCCCCCCCGCGUUUCUGUGGGGAAUGGAUGGGGGGUUGCACAAAGGAGUGAAAGGAACCUGGGUCUGUGGAUUGAGAAUUAAUGAAAUUAACGUAAUCCUUUCCAUUAAUGGGCUUUUUUGAAAGGCCCCAGAUUUAGGCUUGAUCUCUGCUGCACCGGCUAAUUGCCCGGGUUAAUCUCAUUAAUGCCACUGUGCAGAAGUGGUUAGCAGCUCCUCGUCUUGUCUAUUAUGCACCUACUUUACUCGUGUUAGUUCGCAUUAGUGGGUGUGAUUUCCUCCGUCUGAAGAUCGGAUUCAUUAUUUAUACCUCGAAUUGCUCGAGAAACACGUUAAAAAAAAUAAAUUUCGGUAUGACCACGCAACUUUUCCCCUUCGAAGUGUUUCUGAACCACGGGGCGAACUUUACUCGGGGAACCAGAGGGGCACUGAGGAGUGCGCUGCUGUCAUUUGCGCUCUGUGCGCCGUGCAACAUCUACUGAGUAUAGGAACUAUUUUUUUUUCCCUCCUUUCCCGCAUCAUCUGGAGAGGAAACAUUUAAACACUGCAAAUAUUUAAAUUCUAUUUUAUUUUGUGAAUUCUCAUCCACACAAGUAUCGCUUUCUGUUUGUUUUUUUUUUAACGAGGCAGGAGGUGGGAAUGUCAAUGACCGCUGCCAUCUCAUCCCUGAGCUGGUAGGUGCUCCGACCCGCUUCUCAUCUCCUUUCUGGUGCUCUUCUCUUUUCACUUUCUAAGCAGGAAUAAAUCCUUUUCUAACUUCGAAAACGAAGCGUAUAGAGUUGCGGCGGUACGGACAAACUUCGCCUAUUGCGUGUUCAGAGAAUUUGAAAGGGAACAGUUUAAAGUCCGUAAAAUUCUCAGCUGAGACACUCGGCUCUCCUGGUAGCUGCUCUUGUGAUUUGCAGAAUACUUCGUCUGUCACGACUGUCACUGGGAAUCCACAGGAGGUGAACUCAAUCAGAUUAGACUAUUUACCCCAUCAACCCUCCACCGCAGAAGGUUUUGUUACUGCGUCUGAUACCGACCCAAACCGAAGACCUCCGUGUAGUAAAAGACGAGCAGGAACGUUAAGAAAAAAAGAACCCCAGGACUCGAUUCUCACUUUAAUACAUCGCGAUGUGACUAAUAGUUACCAUCGUUCCUUUUCCUUCAAUUGUGUACCGAUCCAUUUCUUUGCGCCUUUGGUAUUUGGAGCUGACCUUCGUGCGAGUUUUACAAAUUCAGUGUGAAAUGGAAGAAUUGGAUGUGGACUGAGUUUUUUCUUUUUCUCUUUUUCUUUUCUCUGCUUCUUUUCCUUUUCUUCUUCUUGCUUCGUGUAUGUUCUGGGGUGGUUUUUGAUUUGCUGUUUUGGUUGGAUUUUGUGUGUGUGUGUGUUUGUGUGUGUGUGUGUUUGCUUUGAUGUUGGAUUUUGGGGGGUCAGUCGUUCCCUGCCUCCGGCCCUGUCCUGCGUGGUGCUUAAUUCCCCCCUCGCGAUGCUCACUCACGUCCCAGCGGCUCCGCAGCCACGCGCGACCGCACCUCCUUGCUGUCUCCGCAGCUCUCGGCGGUGCGGGGGCUCCGGGCGGCUCCGAGCCGGGCCAGGCCAUGAGGGCACAGCCUCGGGCCUCCGCAGGUGCCCUGGGGGCCUCCACGGAGCCGCGGGACGGAGGGAGGGAGGGACGGGAGGGCAGCGGGGAGCCGUCGCCGAGGCUGCAACGCUCCCCUUCAUUGCCAAUUUAGAGAUGAUUUUUUGUUAUUAUUAUUGUUUUAUUUUCUCCAAGUCCUUGUCACUCCCGUCGGGGAACUUCUCGUUUGGUUUUCUUUUAAUCUCCGAAGCCUUGCAGCGCGAACUCCGGUGUCGAUAUCCACUUUGCAAAGGCUGGUCCGGCAGUUUCUCAUCUCUCACCCGCUCCUCGCUAACUUUGCAGACGUAAAAUUGUAUUAACCAAACAGUCAGCGCUCACACAAUGUCGGGAUGAAAUUGUAAUAACAAAUGAAACGCAAGCAAAUUGUGCUGCAUAGUGUUGCCAAGCAAUUGUUUGUUACUGGGGGAGAGUCACAGCAUGGGCUGAAAGAGAGACCUAAAGAGGAGUACGGCACCGGGCGGAACAAGCUGUUAGGCGAGAAAUACAGUAAACAUUGCACUGAUUUUCAAUAUUAUUACCCAAACACGAUUUCAUACAAAGCAAUCACCGUACUCAAGUCUAUGGAAAUGCGCUUGUUGAGAAAUCGGCCGUUUUUUUUAUUUUGAGGUAUUAAGGAAUAAUUCCGGGGAUGUAAAACGCGCCGCCUGCGGGGCGCGGGGGUUCCGCGGCCGAGCAGCACCGCGCAGCUUCCGCGGUCGCUCCGCGGGGCCGCACGACCGCGUUCGGGGCCUCCCGGCGGGGGCUGCGGAGGGGCUUCGGCCGCUGUUCUCCCACCGGACCCCGGCUGCGGGGGAAGCUGAGGCGGACCAAAGGGUCGGCUCCGGCACCGAGAGCCUCUCGGAGCUUCGCAGCAAGCCGAAUACGCGGCAAUACCAAAUACGCAGCAAUACCAAAUACGGCAAUCCCGUGCGAAUGCCAUCACCCUCCAGCGUUUGCCGGGUUUGUUUCAAAUUGAUUGCAUCAUUACUUCGGGGGAAAAAGGAGGGGGUAGGGGAACAAAAAACAACAACAACAACAACAACAAAAGUGCAAAGCGAAAUUACGUUAAUUUUUUCCCAGAAUAAACUUAUCUUGAACUGAUUAGGAAAGUCAGUCAUUUUGAAAACGAGGUAGCGCUUUCAAAACGAGUCUCCCUUUUCCCCCCUAAAAGUUUCCCUCUAACAAUAUCGGCUUCUAAAGUUUUCAUUCAUAUAAACUCUAUUAAUGAAGAUCUUUUAUUUAAAUGUCAGGGGGAUUUGAAAUUUAGAGUAAAUUAUGAAGCAUGCAUGUCUUGCCAAGUCAUGGGUCAAAUGCAUUUGUGAAAAACUGCUAAAAGAGCAUAUGGUUUUGAAUUUUUCUACAAUGACUAGUGUUUAAAUAAAUUGCUUGUACUGCUUAGCUUCAUGUAUAAUUUUGACAGAAAUUGGCCUAUAGCCUUUUGAUAUGUAAACAUUUCAGGCUUUUAUGCGGUAUAAAAAGACACUUGCUUUUUGGGAUCAGCUAAAGCAGUCACCCUGUAAUUCAGCAAGCUGGCACCUACCAUUACGUUCUUGCUACAUUUCAACUUUCAAGUGGCAGCAGAACGGGAAAAGGAGAAGGGACGUUUCAAAAGCAAUGUCCAAUUGGAAUUAAAAAUUGCAAAUGAGGUGAGAAUGUGCCACUCACUCUCUGAUUGAAAUGGACAAACCAUAGCAUUAACGCGAACUCUCCGUCUAGUUUUCUAAGAAACAGACACGAAUCAAUGAAAACACUUCAGCACAGUUCAGACCUGACUUGCAAGCACGGGUAGGUGGGAGAAAAGAAAAACAGUCAUCCCUCCUAAAUGUAUUACUCUGAGUCCUUCCACCUUUUCUUGGUUUGUAAAAAUUGAAACGGACUUUUGCGUAUGGAAUGUUGCACACAAAGCGUAUUGGCAUGCCACAAUCCAUGGUUUUGCCGUCCAGCCAACUGCACCUCCGCUCACAUCUCUCCAGUUCCCAAGUCUUUUGCAGGUAUUCCUCCAGUAAAUAUCUCACUGCCUUCAAUUCGGGUUGGGUUCCCUUUUUUUUUUUUUUUUUU
rnacentral:lncRNA from 1 species